UUUUAUGAGAGUUUGAUCCUGGCUCAGGACGAACGCUGGCGGCGUGCCUAAUACAUGCAAGUCGAACGCUUCUUUUUCCACCGGAGCUUGCUCCACCGGAAAAAGAGGAGUGGCGAACGGGUGAGUAACACGUGGGUAACCUGCCCAUCAGAAGGGGAUAACACUUGGAAACAGGUGCUAAUACCGUAUAACAAUCGAAACCGCAUGGUUUUGAUUUGAAAGGCGCUUUCGGGUGUC
rnacentral:rRNA from 1 species